rnacentral:rRNA from 1 species
UACGAGUGCCCCGAGCGUUAUCCGGAAUCACUGGGCGUAAAGGGUGUGUAGGCGGCUAUGUUAGUCCACCGUCAAAUUCUUCGGCUUAACCGGGGGUCCGCGGUGGAAACGGCAUGGCUUUGAGGAUGUGAGAGGUGAGCAGAACUCUAGGUGUAGGGGUGAAAUCCGUUGAUAUCUAGGGGAAUACCAAAAGCGAAGGCAGCUCACUGGCGCAUUCCUGACGCUGAAACACGAAAGCGUGGGGAGCGAAUGGG